UACGGGGGGGGCAAGCGUUGUUCGGAAUUACUGGGCGUAAAGGGUUUGUAGGUGGCUUGUUAAGUCAGACGUGAAAUCCCUCAGCUUAACUGGGGAACUGCGUCUGAUACUGGCGAGCUUGAGUGCAGGAGAGGAACGCGGAAUUCCAGGUGUAGCGGUGAAAUGCGUAGAUAUCUGGAGGAACACCGGUGGCGAAGGCGGCAUCCUGGACCAACACUGACGCUGAGUGAGCGAAAGCCAGGGGAGCAAACGGG
rnacentral:rRNA from 1 species